AGUGACGCUUCAUUGGUUUGUUUUGCUUCUUCCAGUCACCGAUGGCUCCUCGCCUCCCACAUCUCGUCGUCGCCCCCAAGAUCGGGAUCCCGCCACAUUCGCGAUAGUCGUCGAGGAUAUGGGCUGCUGAACAGGAACUGGAACUGAUGUUGAGGCCAUCACAUAUAUUGAUUGCAUGGACAAUACUGCAAUUUUUUUUUAAUCAUCUGACUAUUAGCUUAUAAAACUGAUCUUGCGGUUCCUGUUCUGAAAAAUAGUUUAUGACAGUCACUCAUCUGUCUUUCAGGUUGGAUCAGAGGAAAUUUAUAUUGUUGAUCGAGACAUUGGAGUUCUUGAUGCUGCUGCUACUGGGGAAACAGAGUAUUGUUGGUCGACCGGCUUCAAGUUAACACCAGCAGAAAAUUUUGCGAGAGCUGCUUCCUGCACUGAAUGCCACCAGUUUGAAUAUUUCCUCGAUUCUGAAACCCAAGAUGGACAUGGGUUCCUCAUCCUCUGUUGCUGCUACUGCUGCCUCGGCAGUUGAGGCGCCGGAGCUGGGUAGUCAUGGGGGAGGAGAGGCCGGCCUUCUCGAAGCUGGACUCGACGUCGGUGUUGUUCUGGAGGGCCGCGUAGAGGCCGGCGAUGAGAUGAAGAAGUGGACGCCCGGGCCCACCUUCUCGUACUCCCGCAGUUGCACCGUGAACGCCAUCUCCGGCGAGAGAUAGUGCCAGGGUUUUCUGUGCCGGACGGAGCCCGGAGGGUUUUUGAUAGCGGGUUCCAGUGUUUGCUGGGUUGAGGCGGAAGUCGACGAGGCGAAGAGGGGAGGGAAGUGCGACAAAACAAAGCUUCUCCGUGGUGAAUAUGAAUAAUACUUAAAGAACGUUAUCAUUUCAUAACGUAGACUAUCGGCGGUCCCAUUUUUAUUAUUGACCAUUUCUUUUA